rnacentral:rRNA from 1 species
CCCUUAGAUGUUCUGGGCCGCACGCGUGCUACACUGAGUGGAUCAGCGGGUCAGGUUGCGCGAAAGCGUUUCCUAAUCUUUAAAUCCGCUCGUGAUGGGGAUUGACGGUUGCAAUUUUCUGCCAUGAACGAGGAAUACCUUGUAAGCGCGGGUCAUCAUCCCGCGCUGAAUACGUCCCUGCCCUUUGUACACACCGCCCGUCGCUCCUACCGAUUGAGUGGUCCGGUGAGGCUUUGGGAUCUGAGCGGAAAGAGCGUUUCGCUGUUUCUGCUCGGAAAACUCAGUCGAACCUUAUCAUUUAGAGGAAGGAGAAGUCGUAACA